ACUCCUACGGGAGGCAGCAGCGAGGGAAUCGUUCGCAAUGGGGCGCAAGCCUGACCCACGCAACGCCGCGUGAGGGAAUGAAGGUCUUCGGGUUGUAAACUCUUUCAGGAGGGGACGAAGCGGCUCCAACCUAUAGCCCAGGAGGGUGACGGUACCUCCAGAAGAAGCCCCGGCUAACUACGUGCCAGCAGCCGCGGUAAU
rnacentral:rRNA from 1 species